GUUAAACACGAUGGACUGUUGGGUAGGGCUACUACUCCUGACUGUCUGCUCGGCAGUCAUUGACGGUCAGACUCUGACAGAAUCUGAACCUGCCAUUAAACGGCCUGGAGAGUCACACAGACUGACCUGCACAACCUCUGGAUUCACAUUCAGCAGCUACGCUAUGGUCUGGGUCAGACAGGCUCCUGGAAAAGGGCUGGAGUGGAUUGCUUAUGUUAGCGGCAGUGGGGGCACCACCUACUACUCUCAGUCAUUUCAAGGCCGGUUUACCAUCUCCAGAGACAACAGCAUACAGCAGGUGUAUCUGCAGAUGAACAGCCUGAAGACUGAAGAUUCUGCUGUUUAUUAUUGUGCUCGAGAGCCACAGUGA